GACGAACGCUGGCGGCGUGCUUAACACAUGCAAGUCGAACGGAAAGGCCCUGCUUUUGUGGGGUGCUCGAGUGGCGAACGGGUGAGUAACACGUGAGUAACCUGCCCUUGACUUUGGGAUAACUUCAGGAAACUGGGGCUAAUACCGGAUAGGAGCUCCUGCUGCAUGGUGGGGGUUGGAAAGUUUCGGCGGUUGGGGAUGGACUCGCGGCUUAUCAGCUUGUUGGUGGGGUAGUGGCUUACCAAGGCUUUGACGGGUAGCCGGCCUGGGAGGGUGACAGGCCACAUUGGGACUGAGGUACGGCCGAGAAUCCUAAGGGAGGAAGAAGUGGGGAAGAUUGAACAAUGGGCGGAAGCCGGAUGAAGAAACGCCGCGUGCGGGAUAACGGCCUUCGGGUUGUAAACCGCUUUCGCCUGUGACGAAGCGUGAGUGACGGUAAUGGGUAAAGAAGCACCGGCUAACUACGUG
rnacentral:rRNA from 1 species